rnacentral:rRNA from 1 species
CCCNAAGGUAUCCUGAAUCUUUCGCAUUGUUAAUCAUACAAGUGCAUAUAAUANCCAUAAAAAUCAAUGAUAAUCAUGCCAUUAUAUAAUUCCGAAAAAUUAACGGAUUGUNUUGGUAUAAAUCUAUCAGCACUUUAUCAAAUUUACGACUUUUAUUUUAUGUUAAAAUGCAAGCACUAUAAUUGAAAUAAGCAAAAUGACAUAAUUUUUUGAUAAAUUUAUAUGCUAAUAGAUUACAAUGUCCUUAUAUGGAAAAAAUG